rnacentral:rRNA from 1 species
GACGAACGCUGGCGGCGUGCCUAAUACAUGCAAGUAGAACGCUGAAGGAGGAGCUUGCUUCUCUGGAUGAGUUGCGAACGGGUGAGUAACGCGUAGGUAACCUGCCUGGUAGCGGGGGAUAACUAUUGGAAACGAUAGCUAAUACCGCAUAAUAGCAGUUGUUGCAUGACAACUGUUUGAAAGGUGCAAUUGCACCACUACCAGAUGGACCUGCGUUGUAUUAGCUAGUUGGUGGGGUAACGGCUCACCAAGGCGACGAUACAUAGCCGACCUGAGAGGGGGAUCGGCCACACUGGGACUGAGACACGGCCCAGACUCCUACGGGAGGCAGCAGUAGGGAAUCUUCGGCAAUGGACGGAAGUCUGACCGAGCAACGCCGCGGGAGUGAAGAAGGUUUUCGGAUCGUAAAGCUCUGUUGUAAGAGAAGAACGAGUGUGAGAGUGGAAAGUUCACACUGUGACGGUAUCUUACCAGAAAGGGACGGCUAACUACGUG